rnacentral:tRNA from 1 species
GGAGAGAUGGCAGAGUGGUUGAAUGCGGCAGUCUUGAAAACUGUUUUACCCUACGGGUAACGGGGGUUCGAAUCCCUCUCUCUCCG